AUGUGGUUGAUCAUGGCCACCUUCGUGGCCCUUGCUUCGUGCGUCGCCCCUGCUCCUGGUGCAGCGGCGACAGUCUCGGCGCCGCGUCCGCUGCGUGGCAACCACACGCUGGUUUCGGCACAGGGCAAGUUCGAGCUCGGCCUGUUCAGCCCUGCCGGCAGCCUCGGCGACAGGUUCUACCUCGGGAUCUGGUACAAGAACAUCCCCGUCCAGACCGUUGUCUGGGUGGGCAACCGCGCGACUCCCCUCUCUGCCGUCGCCUCCGCCGAGCUCCGGGUGUCCGCCGCCGACGGCAACCUUGAGCUCGUCGGUCCCACCGGAGCCUCUGCCUUGCCGGUCGUCGUGUGGUCUUCGAACCUGUCUUCUUCGUCUAUGUCUUCAUCGCCCGGCAGGAACACAGCGGAGAUCCGCGACAACGGCAACCUUGUCCUUGUUGACGGCGGCAACUCCUCCAACGUGUUGUGGCAGAGCUUCGACCAUCCAGCGGACACGCUGGUGCCCGAAGCGUGGGUCGGGGAGAACAAGCUCACCGGCGAGUAUCAGGCGCUGACGUCGUGGCGGAACGCUCAAGACCCCGCGCCGGGGAUGUUCUACGACACGGUGGACCCCAACGGCACCAGCGAAUUCUUCUUGAUGUGGAACAAGUCCCGCACGUACUUUCGGAGCGGCAUCUGGACGGGGCGCAUCUUCGCAACCGCGACGGAGGCGACGAGGACCAUGCUCUACAACACGACGUACGUCGAGACGCCGGCGUACCGGCGCCUCACCAACGUCGUCUACGACAACGCGACCAUCACGCGCAUCGUGCUCGAUCUCACCGGCCAGGUGAAGGUGUACGUGUGGGUGCACGCGAGGCAGAGCUGGCAACCCUUCUGGACUGCACCCGCCGUGCAGUGCGACGUGUACGCGCUCUGCGGCGCGUUCGGCGUCUGCGAUCAGAGGAGCCAGCUGCCAUGCCGGUGCCCGCCCGGGUUCGCUCCGGUGUCGGAGGGGGACUGGGCGCUUAGCGAUUGGAGCAGUGGCUGCCGACGGAGAUCGCCGCUCAUGUGCGCGCACAACAGAUCCACGACAGACGGGUUCCUAGCGCUGACGGAUGUGAAGCUCCCCGACGACUCACUCGCCGUGGCCACCGCCCAGAGCAAAGCACAGUGCGAAUCGACUUGCCAAAGCAACUGCUCUUGCCAGGCCUACGCCUUCUCUGCCGGGGGCGGGGGAUGUACUGUCUGGCACGGAGAGAUCCGCAACCUUGAGCAGCUCUACGCUGAUUCCGGCGUCUCUGGCUCAGAGCUCCAUCUCCGGCUUUCAGAAGCAGGAUUGCAAGAUCUUGGCGUCUUCGGCACAGACGGGAAGAAACGGGGGAGAACAUUAUGGCUUGUUCUUGGCAUCCCAUUGGCUGGUGUUGCAGCAUUCGGCGUGUCGGUAAUACUGGCCUGGAGGAUUCUCCUUGCUAGGAGAAGACGACUAGCAAACGAGAAGGGAUCCUCCUUGGUCGUGUACAGUUAUGGCGACCUCCGUGCCGCCACGAAGAACUUCUCGGAGUGGCUGGGCGGCGGCGGUUUUGGCUCGGUGUACCGCGGCGUCCUGAAGCAGCAGAAGAGAGACAACACAACCCAGCUCCAGGUGGCAGUCAAGAAGCUGGAGAGCCUUGGGCAGCAGGGCGACAAGCAGUUCCGGACAGAGGUGAGCACGUUGGGCUGCAUCCAGCACGUGAACCUCGUCCGGCUCCUUGGGUUCUACUCGUCGGACGUCGAGAAGAUGCUCGUGUACGAGUACAUGCCUAGGGGCUCCCUCGACCGCUCCCUCUUUGGCGGGGGCGCAACCCUGACCUGGCCCGAACGGUACUGCAUCAUGGUUGGCGUGGCGAGAGGGUUGGCAUACCUGCACCACGGUUGUCAUGAGUGCAUCAUACACUGCGACAUCAAGCCGGAGAACAUCCUUUUGGACAAUGACAUGUCCCCGAGGAUCGCCGACUUCGGGAUGGCGAAGCUGGUGGGGAGGGACUUUAGCCGCGCGCUGACGACGAUGCGGGGCACCAUCGGGUACCUGGCGCCGGAGUGGAUCUCCGGGCAGCCCAUCAGCGCUAAGGCGGACGUGUACAGCUUCGGGAUGGUGCUAUUCGAGCUCAUCUCGGGCCGACGAAACUCCGACGGAUACAGCGAGGUGGAGGCGAUAGGGAGCUGGAGCAGUGAUUCGUGGACCUUCUUCCCCGUAUGGGCUGCGGGGAAGGUGGUGGAAGGGGAGGUGGCCGCCGUGGCAGACCCGCGGCUGCGCGGCAACGUGAGGCCGGAGGAGGUGGAGCGGGCGUGCUGGGUGGCGUGUUGGUGCAUCCAGGACCAGGAGGCGCAGCGGCCGACCAUGGCGCAGGUUGUGCAGGCGCUGGAGGGCGCCGUUCAGGUCAACGCGCCGCCGGUGCCGCGGGCGCUGCAGCACCUCGUCACGCUGACGUAA
rnacentral:rRNA from 1 species